rnacentral:rRNA from 1 species
UGAUGAGUUGUUGCUGGUUCUCUAGAGAGCAUGUGCACACUUGUCAUUUUUAUAUCUCCACCUGUGAACCUUUUGUAGACCUGAAUUUAUCUCUCUGAACGUGCCUGGCACAACUCAGGUUUGAGGAUUGACUUCAUUUUCUUUCCUUGCAUCUUCAGGUCUAUGUUUUUCAUAUAUACCCCAUUGUAUGUUUAUAGAAUGUAAUAAAUUGGCCUUUGUGCCUAUAAAUUUAUACAACUUUCAGCAACGGAUCUCUUGGCUCUCGCAUCGAUGAAGAACGCAGCGAAAUGCGAUAAGUAAUGUGAAUUGCAGAAUUCAGUGAAUCAUCGAAUCUUUGAACGCACCUUGCGCUCCUUGGUAUUCCGAGGAGCAUGCCUGUUUGAGUGUCAUUAAUAUAUCAACCCUCUUCAGCUUUUUGCAUGUUGAGGUGUUGGAUGGUGGGGGGUUAUUAACUUUUUGCUGGACUCUUCUUGAGGUCAGCUCCCCUAAAAUACAUUAGCGAAACAAUUUGUUUACUGCUCAUUGGUGUGAUAAUUAUCUACGCUAUUGACGGUGAAGCACAGUUUAGCUUCUUAACAGUCCAUUGACUUGGACAAGCUUUUUAUCAAAUGUGACCUCAAAUCAGGUAGGAUUACCCGCUGAACUUAAGCAUAUC